AUUGAACGCUGGCGGCGUGCUUUACACAUGCAAGUCGAACGGCAUCACGGGUGCUUGCACCUGGUGGCGAGUGGCGAACGGGUGAGUAAUACAUCGAGACGUACCAAGUAGAGGGGGAUAACUAAUCGAAAGAUUAGCUAAUACCGCAUAAUCUCUGAGGAGGAAAGGUGGGGACCAGCAAUGGCCUGUCGUUACUUGAGCGGUCGAUGGUUGAUUAGCUAGUUGGUGGGGUAAGAGCUUACCAAGGCGAUGAUCGAUAGCUGUUCUGAGAGGAAGAUCAGCCACACUGGGACUGAGACACGGCCCAGACUCCUACGGGAGGCAGCAGUGGGGAAUAUUGGACAAUGGGGGCAAGCCUGAUCCAGCCAUGCCGCGUGAGUGAAGAAGGUCUUCGGAUUGUAAAGCUCUUUUGCCAGGGACGAUAAUGACGGUACCUGGAGAAUAAGCCCCGGCAAACUUCGUGCCAGCAG
rnacentral:rRNA from 1 species